GUGCGCCAUUCAGAUCUCUUCUAUAGCUGCAGAGCACAGUUUGUUCCUCAGAUGGUCAACUCUCUCAGUCGGCUUGGAUUGCCAUAUAAUACUACAGCAGAAAACAGGCGCCUUGCCAUUGAACUUGCUGGAUUGGUGGUCGGUUGGGAGAGGCAAAGGCAAAAUGAAAUGAAAAUUGUGCCUGAUAAUGAUGUGCCAAGC
rnacentral:misc_RNA from 1 species